rnacentral:rRNA from 1 species
UACGGAGGGGGCUAGCGUUGUCCGAAGUUACUGGGCGUAAAGCGCGCGUAGGCGGGUUGGUAAGUCCGCUGUGAAAGCCCGGAGCUCAACUCCGGAGGGUCGGUGGAUACUGCCAGUCUUGAAGGUGCUAGGGGGAGAUGGAAUUACCGGUGUAGCGGUGAAAUGCGUAGAGAUCGGGAGGAACACCAGUGGCGAAGGCGGCUACCUGGACCAGCACUGACACUGAGGCACGAAGGCCAGGGGAGCAAACGGG